GCCAUUUGCUCCUCAAAUGCCAGCCUGAUGUUCUUCCACAUCUGCCUGAAACAUCCUCAGUAGAUGUGUCUGAAUUGAACCCGGAAGGAAGCUUUCUUUCUUUUUCUUUCUGCCACUUUGGUAUGGUUGUGUGGCCAUUUUGCUCUGGGAAGAGAGAGAGUGAGCAAACCUGAAUCUGUAUCCAAAGCAGGCUAUAAUCCCCAAACCAAAGGAAUGGUGUGCAGCAUCUAUUGAAUCUUAGUCCUUCCACUACAACGACGCUAAAAAACAGAAGAAAUAGGAAUGAAAAAUGAACUGAAUUUCAGUCUGAAAGUACAGAUGUUUGAAACUCGUCCAGGAGUGGAGAUUACCAAUGACCAGCCUGAUCCUGGGAGAGGCUGGACUUCUACUACCUUUGGCAGAGAGCCCCAAUAUGAUUUUUAAAGUUUACUCUCAAACCAGUGGAACUGGGAAAUAUUGACAACACUUAGCCGUUUGUUGACUUGAAUAUGUGAAGUCUUGCAGAGGAGCUAUUUCUUUUCAUUGUGGCAUCAAUAUAAUUUAUAGUGGAUGGCAUUCUGUCCCUGAUUUUGUCUCCUUCCCUCCCUUCCUCCACCCUAUUUACAUUCACUUGAAAGAAAAGUCUUUUGAAAAGCAGGUGAGUCAUGAUCUGAGCAUCUAUGAACAAACUGUGACUCUUCUUAGGACACAGGACACCUCUUUCCUGGGCAUUGCGCAUUCAUAUUUAUGUAAUAAAACUUAAAAAUAUGCAGGAUGCAAAAGCCUUCUGGCUGAAAGUUGUUUAGAGUUUGCACAACCCAUAUAAUAUCAACCACCUCCAGAAGAGGAUUUCUAUCUCAGCUCGUAGAAUCCACUAACACGUGGGCCAACCUUGGGCAAAAUUGAGAAGCUGGAAAACUUGGUUUGCUUCCCUCAGCCCCUCCACUUCUCAGCGAGUGUCUUGAUGUCUUCUCCUCUCCCUGCAUCUCUUGCUGUGCCCUCAAACCUACCCAUCCUCGUGUUAGGUAAGGCUGGGUUUAGUUUAACAUGUUAAUGUCCCUCUGCAUUUAAAUCCUAUAUUUAAUUAUAAAAGGAAAGGGUCUGUCCUUUUAAAGGCAUUGUGGGGGACCUAAGCGGGGAUGUAGGCCACAGAAAAGAAACUUCUCAAGGAACUUUGACCAAGAGAAACACCAUCUGAAAAUGCCUAAGCUAACAAAACUGAGUUUAGGACAUCUGCGUUUGGCCCAUUCUCAUUAACCACCACGUCCCUGGAGACUGGUUUUCCUCCUAAUAUGGUGAAAUAUGCCAAAAGCAAGUAAAUUCUCCUGUGGGAUUUAAAGGAUUUAACUGAAUCACAUGGAAAGUUACCAGAUUCUCUGAGUGAUUUAUGUGGUAGAAGCAUGGUUCUAUUUGGAUGAACUUUUUGCUGUCUCACAGAAAAAAGAAAGUAAAAUAUUCAAUAUAUACUCACCAAGUGGUUCCAAGAGCCUUGCCUUGAAAAAAAGAAAAAAGACAUAGCCUUUUUCAAAAGUUAGUUUAGAAGUAUUAAAAAAUCAUAUUUUUAUAGUAACAGUUAUCACAUUGCCAAUAUUUUUCCAUCAGCACUGUAAAUAAAGUAACAUUUUUCUUGUGAGUACACCAUUUAAUUGCUCAUAAGUAAGAAAAGGGUGUGUAAGUGUGGUCUUAAUGGAAGUGUUAACACACUGGUUAGAAAUGUGAAGUCCCUUAAAGUUAUACAAAAAACCUUAAACACAUGAGAUAAAUUUUAGAAGCUGUUAACCACAUGGAGAUGCUGGGUUCCAGACACAUGCUCUCGGUCCCUCAAAAAUCUAUAGCAUCUCUUCAAAAUUGAAGUUCAGUUCCACUUAGAAAGGCAUUAUUUCCAUUCUCAGCCCUAUUUUAAAAUGAAACAGGAGAAGUGUAUAUUCUACACUUCUGUUCACAUCGCAGUGACCCUAAAAAAGUCCACAGAAAGUACACUUCCCAAUCAAAUGUUUAGUUACCAUUGACUGGGAAGACCCCAGUGAGAGCAUGACAUUUUUCAAUGAUUGCAGCAAAAUAUAUUGCUAGGGAAUCCAGAAAAAAUACACAACUAAAGU